rnacentral:rRNA from 1 species
UACGUAGGGGGCAAGCGUUGUUCGGAAUUAUUGGGCGUAAAGGGUGCGUAGGCGGUUUGGUAAGUCUUAUGUGAAAUCUACAGGCUCAACUUGUAGUCUGCAUGAGAAACUGCCGGGCUUGAGUAUGGGAGAGGUGAGUGGAAUUCCUGGUGUAGCGGUGAAAUGCGUAGAUAUCAGGAGGAACACCAGUGGCGAAGGCGACUUCCUGGCCUGUUCUUGACGCUGAGGCGCGAAAGCUAGGGUAGCAAACGGG